GCAUUCUCAUUCCCUACUGAGAACUGGUGCUUUUUUCUCACCCCAAAAUCCUCCACCCUUUCAGUGACACAGGUUUGAAGACUCAGUUUGAAGCUGUGGGCGAUUAUUAGACUUAUUUAUAAGUUAAGUUUAUGAGUUGAGUUACUUUCAUAGAAUUUCCUCGCCUUUGUUAUUUAAGUUUUUAUUUUAUCCAGAGGGAUAGGUCUUGUAUUCGAGUUUUAUAU